UGGAAAUUAUCAUCUUGAUGU
rnacentral:piRNA from 1 species